AACACCUGAGCUGAACGCGUUCGGGUAAGCUGCGGGAAAAACGAAGCCCGUCCUCCAAAGAAGGCUACAGUUUAGAAGGCACUUUUGUCAAACUUGACCAGUGGAUAGUCAACCAGCAAGAGAGUGUUUCAACAACAGCACAAGUCUUCAGUAUUGGGCAACGCGACAUGAAUGUAUCAAUCCGAGGGUAUAACAGCGGAAAGUGACAACAGGAACAACGGAAUGUGACUUCCCUGACACUUCACCUGGCCCAGACAAUUCCAAGGGCGAUGACAUCACCUAACCUUUUGCCUAUUUAGUAACUCUAAUGACGACCAUCGCCACGUCGUGCGGUAUAUCUCCAGAGGGUCACAUCCCAAUCUGCCGAAUCCCAGUUCGCCGAAUGCAGUUAGGCGGAUUCUCUGUGAGGGGAAGGUCAACCCCUUUCGGCCAGCUGGGAAAGGACACUUGAACUUUUCGACGGGUUGGGUAUGGCGGAAAAUGACCUAAAUAGGAAAGGGGCGAGAGCGGACAUCUUGCAAGAUGAGGAAAUAUCAAAUGGCUCCUGCUGAAUCAUCUCCGUUUUUUUUCUUUUACCAGUCAAUCAAUCAAUCAACCAUCACUCAGUGAAAUAUAUAGCCGAAGAACUAUAAAUGAUGUUGAAAAAUGACACACGUACAUGGCACAUUGCAGCUAGCUGGCUAUAAAACGAUGCAACAGCAUAU